rnacentral:rRNA from 1 species
GCAGUGUACCCGCGGCAAGACGGAAAGACCCCGUGAACCUUUACUAUAGCUUGACACUGAACAUUGAGCCUUGAUGUGUAGGAUAGGUGGGAGGCUUUGAAGCGUGGACGCCAGUCUGCGUGGAGCCGACCUUGAAAUACCACCCUUUAAUGUUUGAUGUUCUAACGUUGGCCCCUUACCGGGGUUGCGGACAGUGUCUGGUGGGUAGUUUGACUGGGGCGGUCUCCUCCCAAAGCGUAACGGAGGCGCGCGUGC